rnacentral:rRNA from 1 species
CUUAGCCCUAAACAUAGACAAUACAAACACAAUAUUGUCCGCCAGAGAACUACAAGUGAAAAACUAGAAACUCCAAGGACUUGGCGGUGCCCCACAUCAACCUAGAGGAGCCUGUCCUAUAAUCGAUAAUCCACGUUGUACCUUACCAUUUCUAGCAACUCAGCCUAUAUACCGCCGUCGAAAGCCUACCUUAUGAAAGAAACAAAGUAAGCAAGAUAGUAAACAACUAAAACGUCAGGUCAAGGUGUAGCAUAUGAAAUGGAAGAGAUGGGCUACAUUUUCUACUUCAGAAAACACGAACAGCACAAUGAAACCUGUACUCGAAGGCGGAUUUAGUAGUAAGACAAAAAAGAAUUUUUGCCUUAAACCUGCU